rnacentral:rRNA from 1 species
CCUACGGGAGGCAGCAGUGAGGAAUAUUGGGCAAUGGAGGUAACUCUGACCCAGCCAUGCCGCGUGAGUGAAGAAGGGUUUCGGAUUGUAAAGCCCUUUCGGAUGGGAUGAUGAUGACGGUAGCAUCUAAAGAAGCCCCGGCUAACUUCGUGCCAGCAGCCGCUGUAAUACGUAGGGGGCAAGCGUUGUUCGGAAUUACUGGGCGUAAAGGGAGUGUUGGCGGUUUAGUAAGAUAGUGGUGAAAUCCCAGAGCUUAACUUUGGAAUUGCCAUUAUAACUAUUAGACUAGAAUUACAGAGAGGAUAGUGGAAUACCCAGUGUAGAGGUGAAAUUCGUAGAUAUUGGGUAGAACACCAGUGGCGAAGGCGACUAUCUGGCUGUACAUUGACGCUGAGGCUCGAAAGCAUGGGGAGCAAACAGGAUUAGAUACCCUGGUAGUC